rnacentral:rRNA from 1 species
AUGGGAAAAGCUUGGGAACAACCGGCUAAUCUGACAUGGGGCAUUUGCCGCGUCCAGCGUGUGACGCGUGUCCUAUGUGUGGCUCACACACCGCACUAUUCUAACUACAUCUUUGUUGUUAAUUUUUCUACAACAUCAUCUAUGUUGCAAAAGUUUCUUCCACAACAACACCUAUGUUGCAAAAAAGUUGAGACACAAAAAAAAUUCUGCAACAAGACCUCUGUUGCCAAAAGAAUUAUGCAACAAGACCUAUGUUACAAAAGAAAUGUGCAGCAUAGCCUUUGUUGCAAAUAUUUUUGCAAGAAGACUUGUGUUGCAAAAGAAACUUGCAACACGGUCUCUGUUGCAAAAGUGAGGACACCACUCAACCACAAGGUGCGCUGA